GUUGCCCCUAGAGGCGUUGCAGACAUAAUUGGUGUUUUAUGUCUGUGUCAUUAGGUGGCAUAGAGCACUGUGGCGGCGUCUACAUUCGGUGCUUAACCUGUGGGUACUAAGAAUGAUUACCUGCCAGACAAU